rnacentral:piRNA from 1 species
UCUCCAAGGGUGCUGAGCACCGUUUUCUCUGU